rnacentral:rRNA from 1 species
GUACGUGUCGAGGUGGUUGUGACCCACGCUGCUCCAUCCCGAACCAGGCCGUGAACGCGACACACACCGAGGCUACUGCAGCACCCGCUGUGGGAACGUAGGGGGAUGCGUACC